UCCCCGAAGGCUUCGUGUGUGACUGAUGAA
rnacentral:piRNA from 1 species